AGGCGUUAGGACGUCAGGGCGGUUCUGUAAGUCACGAGUGUGAAAUCCCCGGGGCUUAACCUGGGAACUGCGUUUGAAACUGCAGAGCUAGAGUGCGGCAGAGGGAGGUGGAAUUCCAUGUGUAGCAGUGAAAUGCGUAGAGAUAUGGAAGAACAUCGAUGGCGAAGGCAACCUCCUGGGCUAGCACUGACGCUCAUGCACGAAAGCGUGGGGAGCAAACAGGAUUAGAUACCCUGGUAGUCCACGCCCUAAACUAUGUCAACUAGUUGUCGGGUCUUAAUAGACUUGGUAACGUAGCUAACGCGUGAAGUUGACCGCCUGGGGAGUACGGUCGCAAGAUUAAAACU
rnacentral:rRNA from 1 species